ACAGGCAGCAGGUGGUAACAUGUUACCAGUACUGAUCAAAUUUAGUCUGGAUGUGACCAACCCUACAAUCUCCAAGUCAGAGCUGCUUUUACUGGAACAAUUUUUCUCAAGGAGUGAUUCCACCACCAUCCUUCUCCAAAAAAGGCUCUGAAAACGUCUAAACUGACCAAGGGUUUCCCAGGAGCCCAUCUGUACGCUGUCAUUCACAAUGCCUCCUCUCCUGGCCAUUCCUGACUCACAAGAGGGAUGGGGAUGAGGCAAACACUGUGUUCUACAGGUGACUGUUCUAAAAUUUGCCACAUAGGACUGAGAAUGCUUUGAUUGAAUCUCACGUCUACAGCCCCAACACCCUGAAUGCGCCCAAUCUCAUCUGAUUUGAUCUCAUUUCCAGCAAUGUGUAUACAUGCAUGAAAUGGAGAAGCCAGCCUCCUUGCAUGUGUCCAGCACGAGGGAUGAUGAGCAAUAACUU
rnacentral:lncRNA from 10 species